UUGGAUGGGCAGGUACUAUUUACUCUUCUUUCAUUUAUUAUCUACCAAGAAAAAUAAGCCAGUCUUUCUGAUGGGGUAAGCACCCUUAUAUGGUUAAGACAAAACCAAAUAAUCCAAUCAAUCUUUGCUAUUCAAAGCCCAGCAUUCUAGAAUCCUCAAAGUAUUCCAAAGAUACAUGUCGUCACAAAGAAACGACUUGAGAAAGAGAAGCAGCUGCCCCCUGUCAGAUGAUACCUAUUCUUGCUGAAAAGCCAAAAAUAUAGAUAGAAGAAGAACCAAAAGAACAGAAGUAACAACAGCGAUGGUCAAGAGAAACGGACUAGAAGCAUAAUUCAUCUUUUCAACAUGUUUUGAGAUGAUGGAAAGGAAGCACCAGCACGCAUGGACUCUAGGGAAAGGCGGGCAGGGAGGAAUUAACACAAGCACCUCUGUGCCCAAGAGGCAUAAAAGAAGAACCCAGGAGUAGGAGUGAUGAGAACAGGAACUCCUCAGCAUUUACUGGUGACCCUAAAACCUUUCCUUCCCUGCUAUCAAGUUGGGCUGCCUGAGCAACCACCAAUGAAGAGGAAUAAAGAACAGGAAGAAGCUGAUUAGAAGUUAAAGAUAAGACCAGUCAAGGACAGCACAGGCACAAAGGAAUGAGAAAAAGUUUCUAUUAAGGUAAGACUUUGAAAAUUGAAGACAAAGAUUGUGCCUUACUCGUCAUAGCAAGUAUCUAGUCUAAUUCUCUCCAUAGAGUUGACAUUCAAAGGACUGUUAAAGGAUCUCUCUUCUCCCACACACAUACACAAUCAAGAGUGAAAGAUGAAUCACCACUAGAAAUCAAAAAGGAUACUGGGAAAGUUUUCAAAUAGGCAUUCUGACUUGUUCUCACCAAGGAGUCUAUUACUAAAUCUUGCUGAUUCUUUUUAUACACACUGUCUCAUAUAUGAAUUUUCUUUAGAAACAAAUCCACAGCUACUGUCUUGGUUGAACCUCUAAUUAUCCCAUAUUAAGAAUCUUGAAAUAUUUGGUUAAGCUUCCUUACCUGCAAACUCUUAAUAACAAAGAUAGAAUUGGCAUUUUAUAAACAGCCUAAAUACACUAGUCAGAGCUCCCAGGUAUUCUUCCCAUAAAAUGCAAACUCCUUAAACAUUUAUUUCAAAUCUUUCCAUAAUAGAUCUCAAAUUGCCAAUUAUAUUUCUUUUUCUGAGAAAACUAACACAAUUCUUCUGAAUUGUUUUGGCAUUGUGAGUACCUUGCCUUGAAAUGUUCCAAGAAAUAUUACAUAGGCUAGGUACAGUGGCUCAUGCCUAUAAUCCUAGCACUCUGGGAGGCCAAGGCAGGAAGAUGGCUUGAGGUCAGGA